AAGGCUAACUGAACUCUCAGGGAACUCAUUCAUUGCUUAACUUCCAAACCACACGCUCUGGCCAAAGAAAAGGAAUCCUGACUUAGAAGAACCGAUUAUUAUAAGGCAUGCCCAGAUGCUUUGAGCGCUAGGUGAUUCCAGCUAUGCUCAAGGUGUCAAUCAUCAUCAGCCAUCACAGGUCUCAAAGGCAACACCACCGUGUUAGCUCCCGGAAGCGGCUUUGAAAGAGAGGCAUAGAUGUCCCACAUUGUGCCAAAAGAUGUUGGUUGUAGAAGCAUUUCUGUGUAUGCCUGGAGUCAGAGUCAAGAGAUUGCUUCCAAGCGAGUCCCUCUCUGAUUAAUUUUUAAUUUCAAUGUGUCGGAUGCCCAGCAGCCUUCAUUCAUGGCUGAGCUUUUACUUAACACUGAAGCCUACAGGACACCACAUGUCUGGGUGAGGAACUCCAAAAUCUAACACAUUCUCCGGAGCGACUUCCAGCCAUCAUGGCCAAUGCCUGCGAUCCCAGCACUCAAGAUGGAGACUUUGAAGGAGCAGAAGUUCAAGGCCAUCCCUGGAUGACAGCAGUUUGGAGAGUAACCAGAGUUACAGGGAAGACCCUGUAUCAGAACAAAACAAACGGAAAACAACAACAACAACAAAAACAAAAACCAAAAAGAACUCGCGGUUUACAAGGGCAGCUGGGAG